UGCUUUGCCACUUUAGGACCAGACACUGAGAGACAUCCUCCAGCCGUCCAAAGGAAGACUUUCAGGGCUGCAGCACUCUGUCUGGCAGUGCUCUGCUUUCUGAUGAUGACUGGAAACAUCCUCUUAUCCGUAUACUUCACUUUGCUGCAGACCAGAUACGACCAACUGAGCAACAACAACAGUCAGUUACAGAGCAGCUACGAAACACUGAGU